AGAGUUUGAUCAUGGCUCAGGACGAACGCUGGCGGCGUGCUUAACACAUGCAAGUGGAGCGACGAACCGGGCUUCGGCCCGGGGCAAAGCCGCGAACGGGUGAGUAACACGUGGGUAACCUGCCCCAAAGACCGGGACAACCCGAGGAAACUCGGGCUAAUACCGGAUGUGUUCACCGUCCACAAGGACAGUGAGAAAAGGAAGCUUCGGCCUCCGCUUUGGGAUGGGCCCGCGGCCCAUUAGCUUGUUGGUGAGGUAACGGCUCACCAAGGCUUCGAUGGGUAGCUGGUCUGAGAGGACGAUCAGCCACACUGGGACUGAGACACGGCCCAGACUCCUACGGGAGGCAGCAGUGGGGAAUCUUGCGCAAUGCACGACAGUGUGACGCAGCAACGCCGCGUGGGGGAAGAAGGCUUUCGGGUCGUAAACCCCUUUCAGGAGGGACGAAGCUUCGGCAGCGAAUAGCUGUCCGGAGUGACGGUACCUCCAUAAGAAGCCCCGGCUAACUACGUGCCAGCAGCCGCGGUAAUACGUAGGGGGCAAGCGUUGUCCGGAAUCAUUGGGCGUAAAGAGCGCGUAGGCGGCCAGAUAAGUCCGGUGUGAAAGUCACAGGCUCAACCUGUGAAUGCCGCUGGAAACUGUCUGGCUAGAGUCCGGUAGGGGCGAGUGGAAUUCCUGGUGUAGCGGUGAAAUGCGCAGAUAUCA
rnacentral:rRNA from 1 species